UACGUAGGGGGCAAGCGUUGUCCGGAAUUAUUGGGCGUAAAGAGCGUGUAGGCGGUCCGGUAAGUCGGCUGUGAAAGUCCAGGGCUCAACCCUGGGAUGCCGGUCGAUACUGCCGGACUAGAGUUCGGAAGAGGCGAGUGGAAUUCCCGGUGUAGCGGUGAAAUGCGCAGAUAUCUGGAGGAACACCGGUGGCGAAGGCGGCAUCCUGGACCGGCAUUGACGCUGAGGAGCGAAAGCCAGGGGAGCAAAGCGGG
rnacentral:rRNA from 1 species